AAAAAAUCUAAAUGCCCCAAAUAGCUUGAACCCAAAGAUAGAAAGUCAUUCUUAAAUGUCAACCUCAUAAGGAGGAAUGAGAACCAUCGUGAACCAGAAAAGAGUCAAGCUUCAUUUCAGGGAGUGGGAAGAACACUUGGGAGCAGCUCCACUUCAACCGCACCAGAGCCAAAUGUUGCUCCUUGUAUGCCACAUGAAUUAUUAUAUUGGAUCGGUGCUUUACAUCUCUGAUAUGAAGCUGAUUAGAAUUCAAGACUGAAAAGUAUUCUUUACAUCACACGAAGGCGCAAACCGACUCACUAAUACCUCCUUGUUCGGCCUUCAACUACGGUAAACAAUCAUCAACUCAGCAAGAAUAUAUGCAACGGCUCAUACACCUUCCCCCGACAAUUCCAAAAGAGAAUUAGCCUCAUCAACACAAAGUGGAUGAUCAUAGCUAGGAAAUAAAGCAUGUGAAGAAUUUUCAUUAUGUUGUUGUGAAUGCUAAGGAUAAGCUUGAGAAUGCUGUGAAAUUGUUGGAGUCUAUUUUUGAUGCUGAGAAAGCUAAGGUCCAUCAAAGGACUCUUCUUAUUUAGAUUCAUAUGUUUGUUUUAAUUACAUUUUGUUAAUUUUAUUUUUUGAUUUGAUAGGGUAUUUUUGUGUUGUUGAAAGUAAUUGAAUUUAGUUGGUGAAUGCCUCAUGUAAUGUUUCUAAUUAAUUAACUGAUUCAGUAAGCUAGUGGCUCAAAUUACAUAAAUGCAAAUUGCCAAUAGGAUUUAAUUUAUGUACUUGAGUCCUGCUUGUGCUA